AACAUAGAGGAAAUUCUACAU
rnacentral:miRNA from 1 species